rnacentral:rRNA from 1 species
GACGAACGCUGGCGGCGUGCUUAACACAUGCAAGUCGAACGGAAAGGCCCUGCUUGCAGGGUACUCGAGUGGCGAACGGGUGAGUAACACGUGGGUGAACUGCCCUGCACUUCGGGAUAAGCCUGGGAAACUGGGUCUAAUUCCGGAUAGGAGCCAUUUUUAGUGGGAUGGUUGGAAAGUUUUGUCGGUGUUGGAUGAGCUCGCGGCCUAUCAGCUUGUUGGUGGGGUAAUGGCCUACCAAGGCGGCGACGGGUAGCCGGCCUGAGAGGGUGGACGGCCACAUUGGGACUUAGAUACGGCCCAGACUCCUACUGGAGGCAGCAGGGGGGAAUAUUGCACAAUCGGCGCAAGCCGGAUGCAGCGACGCCGCGUGGGGGAUGACGGCCUUCGGGUUGUAAACUCCUUUCGCUAGGGACGAAGCUUUUUGUGACGGUACCUAGAUAAGAAGCACCGGCUAACUACGUG